UUGUUAGUUCAAGGACAUCAAAAGCACAAUUUUUUGUCAAAGUAGGGCUGCUUUUAGGUUCUAAAUUGGAGGGAGUAACUAGUGGUCUGAUACCUAAACAGUUAUGGAAUAUUCAUUUCACAGAUAUUUUCCGAAUGUCGUUACAAUCCCAUACUCUGUUCCCCGAAUGUGACCUACCGAAUUAGUCUUAUUAGAAUCUUUCGUCU
rnacentral:lncRNA from 1 species